rnacentral:miRNA from 1 species
UGCCCUAUAAAUGGUCCCCGUG